rnacentral:sRNA from 1 species
AUGUACCACCUGUACACUCCAGUUUCUCCGCGCCGUCCGCACCCACCUGACGACUGCUCGCUACGCGUUGUUAGCC